rnacentral:rRNA from 1 species
CCUACGGGCCGCACCAGUGGGAAUAUUGCACAAUGGGCGCAAGCCUGAUGCAGCCAUGCCGCGUGUGUGAAGAAGGCCUUCGGGUUGUAAAGCACUUUCAGCGGGGAGGAAGGCGGUGAGGUUAAUAGCCUCACCGAUUGACGUUACCCGCAGAAGAAGCACCGGCUAACUCCGUGCCAGCGGCCGCGGUAAUACGGAGGGUGCAAGCGUUAAUCGGAAUUACUGGGCGUAAAGCGCACGCAGGCGGUCUGUCAAGUCGGAUGUGAAAUCCCCGGGCUCAACCUGGGAACUGCAUUCGAAACUGGCAGGCUAGAGUCUUGUAGAGGGGGGUAGAAUUCCAGGUGUAGCGGUGAAAUGCGUAGAGAUCUGGAGGAAUACCGGUGGCGAAGGCGGCCCCCUGGACAAAGACUGACGCUCAGGUGCGAAAGCGUGGGGAGCAAACAGGAUUAGAUACCCGAGUAGUC